UACGGGGGGGGCAAGCGUUGUUCGGAAUUACUGGGCGUAAAGGGCUCGUAGGCGGCCAACUAAGUCAGACGUGAAAUCCCUCGGCUUAACCGGGGAACUGCAUCUGAUACUGGAUGGCUUGAGUUCGGGAGAGGGAUGCGGAAUUCCAGGUGUAGCGGUGAAAUGCGUAGAUAUCUGGAGGAAUACCAAUGGCGAAGGCAGCUCGCUGGGACGUUACUGACGCUGAGACGCGAAAGCGUGGGGAGCAAACAGG
rnacentral:rRNA from 1 species